CAGAAGCUAGCAGCCCCGCGUGCGCAAUCAAUGAACAUCACAGCAUCUGUUUUUUUUUCUGAGGGUUGCAGGGGACUGGAGCCAAUCACAGCUGUGACAGGAUAAAAGUUCUCUGCUUGGAGCCCAACCACAAAAUGCUUCAGUCUGUUUCUCCUAUUUCCAGUCAAGAAAAGUGCUUACCUGUUCUCCAUGAACAGGAAAUCCCACCUGCCAGCUGAGUACCUUCUUGUAGACUGUUCCGGAAACAAACGAUGUUUUCAGUCGCUGGCCUGUGAAAUAUCCAGCCUCUUCCACCACUCACCAGUCGGUUACAAAGGCCAGGAUACAAGUCUCUCAAUAAACCUUCCAAAACUCCUGACUGUUGUUUGAGUCUGCUCUUUGAGUCCACAUUGAGCUAAAACAUGAGCA